UACGUAGGUGGCAAGCGUUGUCCGGAAUUAUUGGGCGUAAAGCGCGCGCAGGUGGUUCUUUAAGUCUGAUGUGAAAGCCCACGGCUCAACCGUGGAGGGUCAUUGGAAACUGGGGAACUUGAGUGCAGAAGAGGAAAGUGGAAUUCCAAGUGUAGCGGUGAAAUGCGUAGAGAUUUGGAGGAACACCAGUGGCGAAGGCGACUUUGUGGUCUGUAACUGACACUGAGGCGCGAAAGCGUGGGGAGCAAACAGG
rnacentral:rRNA from 1 species